UACGGAGGGUGCGAGCGUUACCCGGAUUUACUGGGUGUAAAGGGCGUGUCGGCGGUCUCUCAAGUCCGAUGCUAAAGACCGAAGCUCAACUUCGGGGGUGCGUUGGAUACUGUGAGGCUAGACGGUCGGAGGGGGUAGCGGAAUUUCCGGAGUAGCGGUGAAAUGCGCAGAUACCGGAAGGAACGCCGAUAGCGAAGGCAGCUAGCUGGACGAUUGGUGACGCUGAGGCGCGUAAGCGUGGGGAGCAAACCGG
rnacentral:rRNA from 1 species